UCAUCAAUUUAGUAUCAAUAACAGUUUGUGUCUAUUCAAGGCAUAUGGCCACUCAUUCACCUCAGAAGACCCACAAGUGUACUUAUUGUGAGAAAAUGUUCCAUCGUAAAGAUCAUCUAAAAAACCAUCUACAGACUCAUGAUCCAAACAAGGAAGCCUUCAAGUGUGAGGAAUGUGGGAAAAACUACAAUACAAAGCUUGGCUAUAAACGUCAUCUGGCUCUGCAUGCUGCAACUAGUGGUGACCUUACCUGUAAAGUGUGCUUACAAACAUUUGAAAGCACAGGAGUGUUACUGGAGCACCUGAGGACACAUGCUGGCAAGUCAUCAAGUGGCACAAAGGAAAAAAAACACCAGUGUGACCACUGUGACCGUUGUUUCUAUACUCGGAAAGAUGUUCGGAGACACAUGGUAGUACACACUGGAAGGAAAGACUUCCUUUGUCAGUACUGUGCCCAGAGAUUUGGUCGGAAGGACCACUUGACACGCCACAUGAAGAAAAGCCAUUCACAGGAGCUGCUGAAGUUCGAAAAGAUACACUUCAGAUAUGUAUCAGUACUUAAAAUUACUAACAGGCCCAUCUGAAUUUAAUUUGGAUUUUUCUUAAUGCCUUCUUGCUGUCACUCAAACCUCAGUGAAGACUCACCACUGUCUCCAUGCUGAAGCCUCUUGUCCACCUGGCAGGGCUAUAAUCGGUUUCCUUUCCACAAACUUCUGCACAUUCGCUCUGUUCAGUUGUUCCUGGACUUUGAAGGACUUUGGAUCCAACUGGGAUGAGAGGCAAGUGAAGUUGAAAAUUAGCCCCAUCACCCAACUGCCUGACUUCUGUUUCCCUUCAGCAUCUGGGCUAUUUUUGUGGAGUCAUCAUUGGAAAAUUUGGCUUUUAGUUUUGUUGUUUAACUGGCAGCAACCAAUUUUUGGUUUGGAGGCAGGCACGAUGGGGUCAAGUUCUCCAGUCAAGCCAAGUGGUCGCCCCAUCUACCCGGGUGUAAGAGCAUCCACAGGGCACCCUGCAGCAGGAUUCUCUCCAACUAACAGUGGCCUAGCUACUGAAUCUGUUUUUUUUACUGAAAGAUGUAAAUAAAUUAGGGUCAGUGUGCCUCCAUAUUGGAAGCUUUCUGUUAUUUAUUUUUCAGUAUUGCCGUUGUUGCUAUUAAACUGGAAUGCCUUUGAUUAGCCCUCCAUUUUUAAGGGACAGUGUACUUCUUUCUGCAGUUUAAGAGGCCAUGAUCAGUUCGCUCUGGGAUAAGCUUGAGUGUAAAAUCUGUCACAAAUCCUAUUUAUUGGUCCCUGAGAGAGAAUGCAAUUCACCCAAUUAAAUGUUUCGUCAUUCACAUUAGUGGGGCUACUGUUUUUACAUUUGCGAAAGAGUUAGCACUUGGGUUUUGAUGCAUACAUUAGAGUUUUGAACUAUGACUAAGCAGCACCUAGGAUUUAGCUCUUAGUUGGACAUUUACUGAACAAUCUGAUUGGACAUACUGUAUCCAAUGUAUUAUUCAGCAAAUGCUAAUGGAAGAUUUGUGUUUCUAAUCCCUUCCCACCACUAGAUUUUUCAGUAGAUUAUUCAAACAGGAGAAGAUUAUCUAUUGUCCUUUCCUUAAAAAAAAAUGAAGUCCAUUAACUGCAGAAAGUGCAGCAGUUCUAAUUUUUAAAUAGAGGUCCUUUUAAAAAUAUUCAAAAGAUAAUGCAGAAUUUCAUAGAUCCCAAUUGAAAGUUUUGUUUUUUUUUGAGGAAGGUACAUGGAAUUAGAAUAUUAGUGCAUAGCAUUAUUUAUAAACUUAAAUCAACAAUCUAUAUUACAUUGUCUAAGAAACCAAACAAAUGUUCUAGUCAGUUUUGUUUUCAUAAAGCCCAAUAUUGCAUAUAUGGACAUUAUAGGGGCACUUUUGAAAAUGUGCAUUCUUGUUAAGGCAUUUCAUUUGCCAGAAGUAUUCAGUGAAUUGAGAUAUAUAUUGUACAUGAUAUUUCAAUUAUUACUUCAUUGUAAAUAUUUGAGAAUGUAGUACAUGAAACAAAAUGUACAGUAUGUUCUUUCAAAAAUUGAGUUUUUGUGUCGGCAAUAUCAAGUUGGAAAAUGUCUCAUAUUUGAAACUGUAGUUAGACUUCCUUCCUCAGGCUGAGCACCUGAAACUUUGCAGCAUAGCUGAAAGAGGAAUGGCGAUAGGAUAGCCAGUGGGUAAAUGGUUUACAAAUGUCCAUGAGUAUUUUGCACACAAUCUGUAUAUGGAAUGACGAAUCCAAAUUGGUUAGCCAACUAAAAGAAAGGGCACUUCUUUACAUCAGAAAUGCUUCUAUUUAAGUACACCUUCUGACUUAAAUUUAAACAAGAGAAAACUUUGUUUUUGAGGAUUUCUUCUUUAGAAUAAAUAGAACAACUAAUUAAGCUGUCUCGAAGAAAAACCCACCACACAAUUGGAGGGAAAAAUUUCAAAGGUGGGCAACUAAUUUAACCCAUCCUGUGUUAAUUGACAAGUCGUCUCAUUUUGAGAAUAAAAAAAAUCCCAUAAAUAAAAUAACAUAGAUGCUGUUUUUAAUUCCUACAUUCAAAUUGCCUCUAACUUUGAAUUUAAAUCUGUGAACUUUAAACAGUUAACUUUUUAGAAGUUAUUUUAUUUUUCAAAUGUCAACUAAAGCACAAGUGCAUGCUGCUUGAGAAGUGGAAUUUUCAUAAAAUCUUAGAUGUAUUUUUUUCAUUUGUGCAAAAUUCCUUUUUUAUAGAUGCGCAACAUCAACAUGUUUUAUCUAUUGUUACAACACACGAGUAUAUAGUGAAUUAUGUAACAUGUAGCCUUGUCUGCAGAAUGUGCAAAAUAACCUAUAUUUUUAGCACUUUCUUUAUCCUUUUACCUUCAGUGUCUUUGAAGGUUGUACAGUUAACAAUCAUUACAAACUUGUUUCAAGUGCCGUUAGAUUUCAUAUUCUAAUAUUCAAGCAUUAGAUAUAAAACAAUCUUGUACAUAUUUUACUUUUCUAUUUAACUUUUAGCAGGUACAAAUACUAUAGUGUUUCUUUUUGUAAAAAAAAAGUCAUAUUUGCAAAGACAAGAAAGUAAACACAUGGAUGAAUUAUUGUUACAUCUCAACUGAAGUAAAUUCAAUGGGGGAAUACCUGUGCAACACUUUUUGAAGUUAUAUACUUGCUGCUAUUUCACUUUGUUUAAAUGAAACCAGUUCUCAUGGUGCUGUGAACUUUCCAUUUCUUAGUUUAUUACUGUGAUUAUGUACUGCAGUUACCAACAUGUAGAAAAUCUGCAGUAACCUGAAUACUAUUAACACUUCUAAAUGUCAUGGCCUUCGUAUGAAGCCACAAUACAUUAUGCAGUUGAGGCAAAACAAAACUGUUUGAUUUUUGAUCAGAUCUUAAAGCCAUCAAGAAUUGGUAUUCCUUCAGACUCUACAUAGUGGAGGUUUGCUGGAACCACGUGAAUUCUAAUGAAUUUAAAGUGAAAAUAUUGUUGAACAUUGUACGUUCUACCUAAAGUGUUGUUACAUCUAUUGCUCAGCAUUUGUCCGUUCUCAUAACUGAAAAAUACCAAUGGUUUGCACCCCCACCCCCACAGUUUGCAUCACUGAACUGCAAAGUUUAAGCAGAUUGAGUGAAUGUUAAGAAAUGUAAACAGUAUUAGAUAUUUAUGUAAUUCAUUUUAAAGCAUAUUUUAGUUUGUCAAAAAGUGGUGGAAUAGCAGAAGGUAACUGCAUUCCAAAUUAGACUUAUGUACUUGUUGCAUUUCAACAUUUGUUAUCCUGUUCACAAUAGAAGCAUGUUGCUUACAAUGUACAUAAUUAUCAAUGUAUUUACGUACUACUGGUAUCUGUGCAAAUGUAGGCAUGUACGAUAGUGUUCAAAACUAAAGCUGCAGUAAACAUUUUAGAAUUUAAUCUUUACAUCCAAAGAAAUGCUUUAAAAGCAAACAUUAUUUAUUGUGCCAGAUAAUCUGCAUUUUUAUAAGCAAAUUUACUAUAAUAAAACAGUUCUGCUGCAGCUCCAUUUGGUCUAAAGUGUAUUAGUAUCCAUAAACAUUGGAUUGAAA